AACUGGAUUAAAUUGAGAAUAGAGAAAAGUGACCUAAAUAAUUAAAGAAUACAGAAUUUAAGCCUACCCUCUUUCCCAUCCAGCACCUUGCAGAAGAGGGAUGCAAUCCACAUUUUUUAAUAUAGAAAUCAAAAGAUUAUGCUAAUAGAAUAAUAAAGUUGAUGUACAUGUGGAUAUUACAAAUAUGGGAGAAAGAAUUUAAAUUAUGAAAUGAUUUGCUACCACAACCUACAAAAUUUUUCUAUUAAAUAUUAUAAUGAGAAUAGUCAAUAAGCAUUAACUGGAAUUCCUUCAAUGCUUUAGAAAAUAUUGUAUGUAAUGGAUACCUUUCCAUCAUUUAGAAAGAACACAACCAUUGUUUUUGAAUACGGAAGCCAAAAAUAUCAUUGAGAUCAGAUGUACAGGCCAAAUGUGUAUAUAACCCAUUAAAGCACAUACUUUCUCCUUACAUAUCAUCACCAAACUUAUAAUGUCACAUAAAUAAGUAAUAUUUACAAUUCAUUUAGACUUUUCAAAUAUCAAAAUUCUCAUAUAAUA
rnacentral:lncRNA from 1 species